UAGAUAGUACCUUACUACUUGGAUAACCGUGGUAAUUCUAGAGCUAAUACAUGCUAAAAACCCCAACUUCGGGAGGGGUGUAUUUAUUAGAUAAAAAACCAAUGCCCUUCGGGGCUCCUUGGUGAUUCAUGAUAACUUCUCAGAUCGCAUGGCUUUACGCCGGCGACGGUUCAUUCAAAUUUCUGCCCUAUCAACUUUCGAUGGUAAGGUAGUGGCUUACCAUGGUUUCAACGGGUAACGGGGAAUUAGGGUUCGAUUCCGGAGAGGGAGCCUGAGAAACGGCUACCACAUCCAAGGAAGGCAGCAGGCGCGCAAAUUACCCAAUUCCGAUACGGAGAGGUAGUGACAAUAAAUACUGAUACAGGGCUCUUUUGGGUCUUGUAAUUGGAAUGAGUACAAUUUAAACCUCUUAACGAGGAACAAUUGGAGGGCAAGUCUGGUGCCAGCAGCCGCGGUAAUUCCAGCUCCAAUAGCGUAUAUUAAAGUUGUUGCAGUUAAAAAGCUCGUAGUUGAACCUUUGGCCUGGCUGGCAGGUCCGCCUCACCGCGUGCACUUGUCCGGCCGGGCCUUUUCUUCUGGAGAACCGCAUGCCCUUCACUGGGUGUGUUGGGGACCAGGACUUUUACUUUGAAAAAAUUAGAGUGUUCAAAGCAGGCCUUUGCUCGAAUACGUUAGCAUGGAAUAAUAGAAUAGGACGUGCGGUCCUAUUUUGUUGGUUUCUAGGACCGCCGUAAUGAUUAAUAGGGACAGUCGGGGGCAUCAGUAUUCAAUUGUCAGAGGUGAAAUUCUUGGAUUUAUUGAAGACUAACUACUGCGAAAGCAUUUGCCAAGGAUGUUUUCAUUAAUCAGUGAACGAAAGUUAGGGGAUCGAAGACGAUCAGAUACCGUCGUAGUCUUAACCAUAAACUAUGCCGACUAGGGAUCGG
rnacentral:rRNA from 1 species